CUGGCAGAGUUGCACCGGAGGACCUAGAGAGAACCUAUUAAUCGUGUCCCCAAAAGUCAAAGCUGCAAAUGUGGCAGACCAACCGUACUCAGAGGAAAAGAAACAUAUUUCCUGACAUUUUGAUGCGUCUGAGAUCUUUUUUGGCUGCCUGAAUUACCAUCCCUAGAGAAGAUAGAGGACAGCUUGACAAGGGAGGAAGUCAGAUCUAGAGGCUUGAAGCUCUUAGUGGUCAGCAUCGGCGACAGCAAACUCCUACCUUCCUGAUACAUUAGAGCAAAAGGAGGAAGCGAAAGCCUCAACUGCAUGGCUGGGUGCCUUGUUCGAACCUCAGAGUAAGCAACUUGUAUCAGCGGUGGUGGCACCAGGCGGCACAACAAGACACAUUGCAAGCAGCCACAGUCACAACAGAGGGCUCCUGGAGCAAAACGGCCAUGCUGAAGACUGGGACUGUUUGAAGGGAAAGAAAAGGUGGUGGAGGAGGAGAUGAGGAGAUCAGAAGGAAAAGAGGAGGAGGAAGAAGAAAUAAAACAGGAGGAGGGAGAAGAAGGACAGAAGGAGAU